rnacentral:rRNA from 1 species
AUACGUAGGGGGCAAGCGUUAUCCGGAUUUACUGGGUGUAAAGGGAGCGUAGACGGAAUGGCAAGUCUGAUGUGAAAGGCCGGGGCUCAACCCCGGGACUGCAUUGGAAACUGUCAGGCUAGAGUGCAGGAGGGGUAAGCGGAAUUCCUAGUGUAGCGGUGAAAUGCGUAGAUAUUAGGAGGAACACCGGUGGCGAAGGCGGCUUACUGGACUGUAACUGGCGUUGAGGCUCGAAAGCGUGGGGAGCAAACAGGAUUAGAUGCCCUGGUAGUCCACGCCGUAAACGAUGAAUACUAGGUGUUGGGUUCCAAUAGGGAUUCGGUGCCGCAGCUAACGCAAUAAGUAUUCCACCUGGGGAGUACGUUCGCAAGAAUGAAACUCAAAGGAAUUGACGGGG